ACCUAAAUCAAUUAUAUUGUGUUAAAUAAUAUUAAUAUUAUGCUAUAUAAUAUAUAACAGUUUAUAGAAAAUAUUUGUUUACACAGUUUUCGAUUUAAGCAUAUGUUUGUUCAUUUUAGUCAAGAAAAUAAAAAGUAAAUUUAUAUGGAUACAUAUAUUUCUAUCAACUUACAUAAAUACUUAAUACAUUGGUAUCUAUUGGUAAUGUUUGUACAAUCUUCAACUACUCAAUUUUUAACAGUGAAACUAAAUUGCCAAAUUUAAUAACAUGUUGAGUGCGUAUAAAAAACACAUUGGUUUCACUAAAUGUCUUUGUGCAAGUGUAUAUAUGAUUGAUCAGUUAAACGAUAGUAAUAUUUAAAACAUUUUAAGGAAACUAAUAAAAAUAUAUUAAAUCUGAAUUAAAUUCCAAGUAAAAAAAAUUGCAAAUAAUAACAAAUAGAUUCAAAACCUAUUUUAUAACUGCCAAAUAGCCACGUGUGCUUUUGCUUGAUGACUUUUGAGAGUAUCUUGGCGACCAUAUGAUUUAUCACAGACUGAGCAUUUGUGUUGUACCCCACCAAUAUGUAUCCGUGCAUGUCUCUUGAGAUGAGAUUGUUGACGAAAUGUUUUUUCACAAACAACACAUUUAUAAGGUUUCUCACCGGUAUGUCUUCUUUCGUGAGUUUUGAAGUUAGAUUGUAUAUUAAAACAUUUUUUACAGACAUCGCAUUUAUAUGGUUUCUAACUGGUAUGUAUGCGUUCAUAAAUUAUGACUAUUAUAAUAUAAUAUUGACUGAAUGCUUUAUCACAGAAACGGCAUUUAAAUGGCCUCUCGCCGGUAUGAACGCGUCAAUGUCUUCUCAGGCUUGAUUUUAAUGAAAAUAGGCCAUCUUUGUUUGGAUUAUUUCUUUUGAUUUUGCAGAUACAAUGAUUGACUUUAUUUUUUUGAGGUGUUAUCGUGGGGUAUAUCGUACCCCACCAAUAUGUAUCCGUGCAUGUCUCUUGAGAUGAGAUUGUUGACGAAAUGUUUUUUCACAGACAUCGCAUUUAAACGGUUUUACGCUGACAUCGCAUUUAAACGGUUUCUCGCCGGUAUGAAUACGUGCAUGGUACUUGAGAUGAAUUUGUUGAUUGAAUGUUUUUUCACAGACAACGCAUUUAUAUGGUUUCUCACCGGUAUGUAUCCGUGCAUGUCUCUUGAGAUGAGAUUGUUGACGAAAUGUUUUUUCACAGGCACGGCAUUUAAAUGGUAUCGGUCGCAUUACACGAAAAAUGAAUACUGCAACACGUAUGAAACAAAACAGAUUAAUUUAGGACAAAUAUUGAUGUUAUGCAGCAAGCAUUAAUAUUACUAAUAUUAAAUGUACAAUCCAUCAUACACGCAUCCUUUUUAAGAAUUAAUUUUAUUGAUUUUACAAGAUAUACAAAGAUCUUCUAUUACUUAUCGAGUUGCCUGAACUUAUUAUACAUAAUACAAUGUAACGUUCACAUUUGUUAGAAUAUGGACAAUAAACAUCCGAGUGCCAUAAGAUUUAAAACUUAAAAAGUGUACUCUAUCUAAAGUCCACUUUUACAUAGAGUACCUUGAGACUUUUUAUGACCGACGUCUUUUAACCUUAAACUUGACAGAAAUAAUAAUAAAUUCUCAUAAACGACUUAACUAUAUUUUUGACAUGGAUAUGUCUUUUGGCUU